CUUUGGAUUUGUUUGGGAUUACACUUUAUAUGUAUAUAUAUUUAUGCUUUAUUUAAAGAUAUGAAGUGCAUUUAAAUGACAUAAAUUUGACCCACAUUCAAUAAAGUGACACUCACGUGCAUCGCUGAUCAUCUUCGACCUUAUCCCACCUUAGUUUUUAGAUUAUUAAAGCACCAUCCUGAAGAAUACGCCAAAAUGGACCAACAGCUCUGCCUGAGUUGGAGCCCACAGUCCGAAUUGGCCGGCGUGUUCGAUAAUCUGCUGGAGAACGAAUUCCUGACCCGCUGCACCCUCGGCAUUGAGUCCUUACUUUGCGUGCGUAUACCUAUGCCCUGCUGCAGGAGCAGUACGACAAGCACCCCAUUUUCAUACUCAAGGAUGUCAAGGACCAGGAACUGCGCCCCAUGAUCCCCUACAAGUACUGCGAGGAGGAGCACAUUCCGCAGAAUCAGCUUGCCGCCCUGCUAAAGGCGGCCGAAUCGCUGCAGAUCAAUGGUCAUCAGAAGGAGGAGGAGUUCCAGUUUCACAGGGAACCCACGCCCUCGUCGAACGAGGAAAGAGGCGCACUUCGGCACUCCGAAGGAAAAUACAUCGACAGCUAUUACAAAGGCUAAAUUUUGAAUUAAGGAAACGAUUAUAAUUCGAUUUGAACCUAUGUUGAUUUUCCACCGUUUCCGUUCGAACUUAUACAUAUCUAUCUAUAUCUACCUGAAAUAAAAAAAAAAUGGUUAGGGAAAGUUGUUAGUUUAGAGCUGAAAAAAAUAAUGGAAAACAGAUGGACAAGUCUAGAUCGCAACUAAAAGUACACCAUAUCAAUAACAGGACUAUAUAUCUUAUGAUAAAAUAAAAAGUUAAAAUAACUUAUAUAAUGUAAUAAUUUAAAACACACUAUAAUGUAUAUCUAAUUUUGAAUUUCUCACGUAAUUUUUAGUUAUUCCUUUUGUUGCAGAUGGUCAUACCGCUACUUAUACUUCCGUCAGCGAAAAAAUUCAACUCCCAAUUCAAAACUUUCAAGUAAACAAAUCCCAAAAUUUGUCGACCCUGGAUUUCAGAAUUGAACACAAUUCCGAUUUCGAAAUGGAAGUUUUUGAAUAUGAUUGGGCCAUAAGCGAGCAGGCCAUGCCGAUCCAGAACGAUAGAUCUCAGGCUUAACCUAUUUCCAUAUAUCGACGUAUCAGAAAAUUCAGCUUUGAAUGUUGGAAUUACACUUCAAUUUUCAUUGUUACUCACAAUAUCCUUAAAGAAAUUUCUGCUGUUUUAUAGCAUUUUAGUGAAGUGGGAAAUUCGCAGAAAAAUCUCACGAGAUGGCGCCACUUAAUGACAGAAUGCUAAGGUCUAUGUCACCUAAUAUAAUUCCUUUUCGCAAUAUCCUUAACAGAAAUCCUGUUUUAUAGCAUUUUAUUAAAGUGGGCAUUUUUUAUACCAUAUCAAUAAACAGAAUUUCCUCAUCCUUUUUUUUCUCCGAGGGAAAUUCGCAGAAAAAUGUCGCAGGAUGACGCAACUUAAUGACAGAUUGCUAGGGACUCUCCACUGCAUAUAAUUUGCCAAAGAUUUUUUUGUAAAUAUUUUCAGCUUUUAAAAUGAAAUUUUUUUUGUAACGAAAAACUGCUGCUUAUUGAAAUUUAAAGGAAAAAAAGAUUAUUUAUAAAAAUAUUAG